AAUUUUAACAUUUUAAACUGACUUCGCAGUUUAUCUCUGAAUGUAUUGAUGUCGACGUUUGGGGGACGUUAGUACGACACGUUGCUUCUCUAAUGUUGUGGUUGUGACUCACUAAGUCACUGGAAGUUAUCGUUAAAAACAACGUCAGCAAAGGGCAGUGAGCGAGCACGCCGCCGACAGGUAGACCUCAGCUGUAAUCAAAAAGCAAUCGAGAACCGCGUUUGACUUGAAUACUAUUCUGUAUGUUUUCCACACCAAAGCUGCUAUCGGCAGUGGGAGUGUGAUGGGCUUCACAUCGGGGUGGGGGGCAGAUUUUUUUCAAAACUAUUCACACAAAUGCACCCGUGACUUUGUUCACUUGUUUUUCGAAAGGAGGUUGCUCAUUGUACUUUAGGUGUGGGAGAGAGCAGUGAGUAGAUCGCUCAAACGGAUGUAUUGCGAGUGCCGGCACGUUUGGAAAUGGACGGAUUUAAAGUUAGUCAGAUUACUGGGCCCAAGGCGCAGCCGCCAGACUCUGAGGACAUGCGGAAGGUACACCACCCUGCAUUUGGACACGUAACAGACAAUCACAAAGCAGAGGAAAAGUUGCAAGUUCGAUGGCAGUCUGCUUGUCGCUAGGUGGCAAAGUGGUCGGCUCGUGAGAAGAACGUCGGACAAGAAUCUGAUCAUGUUGACCGCUACCUGAAGAGGAAAAAAAUAGUCUUCAACACUGCGGAAAACAUGCUUGUUGAAAUGAAUUGAGCCUUCUUACCAGCAGAUGGCUCAGUCACAUUUCGCCUCAGACUCCACCGGCUCCAUCUGGAUGACAAAGUGCAGGUGAGUAGACACCAAUUAAAAACCAAAAUGCAGUUCCAUUUUACCCGAACCUGCUGCCGCACGAGCUCUUCAUUUUUCACCCGAUUGAUUCACUGGAAUCUUUUGCUGCAGCACUUGGCCAAGCUGCUACUAGUCCAUUGACUCAUCCAAGGUGGUCAAACCUGCCAAUGUCACAAACAAGGCUCGUCAACUCCUUUUUGUACCUUUGAACGGCAACGUUGAAAAUGGAGGCAGCGGUGAGGACCUGCUACAAGCUUGUCGCAUUUGUCUCUUUGCCCAGCAGGCAGAGGGUCUGACUGGAAGCUGCACUGCAUGCAGAAUGAAAGAAAAAGCAGGUGGAUCGUGACGCCACGUUUCCCGAGGGCCUGCACCAGUGCCGCCUCCAACCAACAGUUCCAGUACUUGGGUUGGAAUUUUGCGACAGGCCCAAACCUUGAGGACGACUCGACUUCACAACGCCUUAUCUGGUUCUUCUGCACCACCUGGUGGAU